rnacentral:misc_RNA from 1 species
GCUUCUUAAAGGGGACAGCUGGUCUGUUCAUAAAUUUGGUGGUACAUGUGUGGGGAACUCUGAAAGAAUUCGCAACGUUGCGGAUGUUAUAAUUCAGGACCAAUCAGAAGGAAAGUUGGUCGUUGUGUCUGCAAUGUCAAAGGUCACAGAUAUGAUGUAUGAUCUGAUUCACAAGGCCCAGUCACGAGAUGAGUCAUACCUAACCGCAUUAGAUGCUGUCCUAGAAAAACACAAAUUAACUGCU